AAAAUGUUCUUGGGAGAUGCUGUAGAUGUAUUUGAAGCCAGGCAAGCAGAAGCUAAGAAGUGGCAGAAUGCACCCAGAGUUACUACUGGACCAACCCCUUUCAGCACCAUGCCAAAUGCAGCAGCCGUUGCCAUGGCUGCAACACUUACGCAGCAGCAACAGCCUGCUACAGGUCUGAAUGCAUUCAAGUUAUAGCUUCUUACUGUUCAAAUGCUGAACAUUUAUGUGCAUUUUUAUAAGUCUUCCUUUUGUGUGAGCCCUGAAAAAAUUUCUAUGAACAGCUGUUUCAGUACAGUCUAAAAAUUGUGAUCGACACAAUUAUAAACACACCUGACAAAAAAUGCAGGGUAGUCUAGCAAUAAUUAUACAUCAGAUAUUGACUAUUGUGAAUUAACUCAAUGUUAUUUGCUGUAUUGCUAUAAAUACCCUUUAGACUAUGGUGUUUCGCUACUGAAUUACAUUUAAGAAUACCAUUAGGUUCUAAAAUCGUGAUUGUAUCAUUUUUUGUUUCAAAGUCAGAUAUAAUCCAUCCAUAUGUUGCAUUUUUCAUGUAUGAUACUGAUAGAUGGUGCAUUCUGACCUUUUUCAUACAUAAUGAUUGCAAAGUACCCACAUUCAGGAUGCAGUGUGAUUUUAUUGACUGAAGAUGUGUUGAAGAUCAGUAGAUUUGCUUUAUGUACUUUGACAAAAAACAGAAUACAGGUCCUGUAAGCCAAAUUUUGAAGACUAUACAUCCGAGAAUUAUUUGUUCCUUUUCAAAAUAAGGGCUCAUGGACAUAAAAGAAAGUAGCAAGAGCAGGAAGAGGACGUUUUGAGAUUUGGAUUGCAUGUUAAGUAGGAAGUGGGGAGUUGAGCAGAUGAAAAUAGUGAAAUAUUAGAUCUUUUUAGUCCUUGGUUUAAUUCCACUUCUAAUCAGAGAAAAAAUUUUGUGGUGUAGUUCUACAAUGUUUCAUUUGGUCCUUGGAAAGUAGGGAAACUUUCCUUAUUCAUUUUUGUCAGGCUUUAACUUAGGAAACUAUACUCUUAAUGGAUAUUGAAUUUUUUUCUUUAAUCAUUAAUUUUUGAGGCUUGUUUAUUCUACAGCAUGUGUCUUCUGAGAAUUCCAUAUAAUCUGGCAGUAAAUUACAAUACAAAAAUAGUUUUAAAAAUACAUAUUUAGGUUGCAUUCAAGCUGCCUGUACCAGAGAAGCAUUUUAUGGUAACUUUUGGCAGUUUAACGAAUUCUUCUUCACAUUUGGAGAAAACAGAUAAUGACUAGAUAUCAGUAAAGAGGUGAUGAUGCAUCUAUGCCAAAUCCUCCACAUUCCAUGGCUGGACACAUGUGAAUAGUGGCUCACAUAGCACUAUCUAGUAGCUCUCUAGCUGGCUGGAGUAUAGGAUUGUAUUCUCUCAAGUUAUGGAGAGGAAAAAUCAUAAUGGGAUUGAUUGCUUUGAAGAAUCAAUCCCCAAAUUACAACCAUUAGUUCUUAAUGAUUAUUUAACCAGCUAAUCAAAUCAACCAUAGUACCAGUUUACUUUUUAGAGCCAGUAUUAAUUCUAAAGAAGAUCAGAUAAGCAUGGCUGUGGUUAAGUAUUCAUUAAAUAUAAUUGAUUUCCAAUAUAAUAAAGCUUGAGAAAAGUCAGUUAUCUAAAAUUACUGUAUUCUAUGGUAAAUAAGUAAACUUGAAGCAAAAUUACCUGUCGAGGUUGUUUUGGUUGUUUUUUUGUUUGUUUGUUUUGUUUUGUUUUUUACUUUUUUGAAUGUAAACUAAUUUAG
rnacentral:lncRNA from 1 species